CUGCGCAGUUGCAUUUUCGCGAGCGUUCCUCGGAUGAUCGUGGUCACCUACUCACCUUUUUGCAACCACCGUCAUUUUUUUUUGACCCCGGUUCUUCUUUUCUCCUCUGCUUCCAGUCCCAGCACUCCAGCAUGAUCCGUUAGGCACUCGCUCUGCUGGACCGCAGGGAUGAGUCGAGGCAGCUACGGAUCGCUCGAGCAAGUGGAUCCUCCGUCCAGGGCUGGGAUGCCAAGGUACGAUGCCAAGGUACGAUGCCGUUGUUCACUUCGGAACCCGUCGUUUUUAGCUUCUCUCUUUUGCUCCCCUUGUUCUGUUUGACGAAAUGCCCGGCCUCGACGCUCUGUUUUACCAACGUGCUAAUGCUUGCCUGCCUUCGCUAUGGGUGUUUUUAUCUGUGUCAAUAGUACAAUAUCUCAAACGCGCAAGCAGACUGCCCUAUUUUACCUUGUUUGUUUUGCUUGCUCUGAAGUAACCACAAUAUAGCAUCAUAUUUGUCUUGCUUGCUAUGAAGUUCCCCUCAUGCAUUCUACCCUCGGUAUGCCAAUCUUAGCUAUUUACUUGGACGUUACGAUUGUGUAAUACAAAUUUUCUAGGUGAGGAUCUUCACCCAUGAAUUAUUUGGGAGGGAAAAUAAGUAACAGUAUAACACCGUUUAAUGUCAUUAGAACAAUACAGAGUAUUUCGUACCUAGUUUGGCAUGAGUAAGUUAAAACGAAAUAUUUCUAACAGGUUUAUGACAUAAGGAAGGACCCAUUAGAUGUACUCUAGUUAAUUUCUCCACCUCUUUGAACAGAACCCUUCCAUUUCCUGACUUGAUACUGAGAAGACCGACUCCAUUGUCAAGUAGCUAACCACCUGCCUGCUUUGAUUAAAUUGCUGUGCUCCACAAAGUUCAGCAUCGCCCUAGAUCUCAUAUGUCAUUCCAACCCGGAGCAGUCUGUUAUGAGGGACACAUGUUAUCUUCUCUGGUUGUCUGAAGUUCUUCCUCAUGAAAUUGUAAGCGUAGUCAACUAUUAUCUUCUUGAAGAAAUCUGCAUUUGGUUCUGCCACCACAUUAGCUUCUCCUAGCAUAUGGACAACACCAUCCUCCAUCUCUCUUUGUAUUGUUUGGAUCUCAUAGAUGCAUCCAUUUGAUGGAGCAGCAGUGCUUCUAUCUGAAGAACUAUCGGACAAUGUUGCCCCUUGAACUCUGACGGAAGGCUCAUUUGCAUCUUCUACUUCUUCUGUUGAAUUAUCUCCUUGGCUGUAAAAUGAUUCUUGAUGGAUAAAUUGUUUCAGAUGUUCAAUAACUAAGCCCUCAAAUUCUCUUGGGUCUUCCACUUUAUCAUUGUAUCCAUAGCGCACCACACAUCGGAAUAGCCUGUAAUCUCUUGGCUCCACAUACCGGAAGAGGAACCUCUCGCUUGUUUCUAUUUUGCUGAUCGGUAAGUACUUUAUUGAGAUAAUCACGAGAACUGAAUGGAUGGAAGGUACCCUUUCUAUCAAGUGAGGAAGUAUGGGUGGGAUGCCUUGUACAAGCUCAGAGUACAAAAAGCCUAUUCCUGGCAACCUGGCCAGAUUUCUCCUUGCGGACAAUUCUGCCACAUAGUUACUUGAUACUUUGUUCUGGAGCUCAUAGUUGUAUCGAUGAACAUGGACAUAAUGCCAUGUGGCCAUUAUAAACAUCAAAAUUCCUGCAAAAGCUAAUGGCAAGUAGCCACCUUGAGUGAACUUGUAGAAUGCGGAAGAUAAGUAUACGAGCUCUGCUCCACCAAUUAUUACUAGAAAGAGUGCAAUCCACAGCAGGCUUGUCUUCCAUAUCAUAACCAUUACUAAAGUGACUAGAAGUGUUGUUAUAAACAUCACAAAGACAACAGCAAUACCUGCACAGUAAAAUCGUGGUGUGAGUAUUUGAUCAUAUCAUAUAACAUAAAGAUGAUCCAUUUCAGGAUAUGGAUCACUCUUAUAUGGUUUCUAUGGGAUCAUGCCUGUACUUUUAGAAAAAGCUGACAGAUCACCAUGCAAUUGAAAAAUACACUAAUAUUUGGGAUUUGAUAAAAUUGUCUUCGUUCACACAGAACCACAUCUUAAUGUUUGCUAGGGUGAUUUCAUGUGUUCUGCUUUCGCUGUUUAAAUAGCAAUAAACAUGAGUGCUCAUAACUUGUUUACAAUCUAGUCAGGUAUAAGGGGGCACCUAUCAAAGCUGAGUGCAAGUUCAGUGCAUGUUAUAUUUAUUAUUAUUACUGAAGUAUAGCUGGGACAAAUGAACCUAUUAAAGCUGAGAGCCUAUUAGCUGACUGCCUGUUACACAUUGCUUCAAGUAAUUGAUACAGAUUUGGAAAACUUAGAGAAAACUGCAACAAGCAGAUGACUGCCAACAAAUAAUUAGAAAUGCAGUAUUUUAUAAUUUCUGUAAAAAUUGAAUAUUCAGAUACUGCAUUUUUUUAGUUUAAUUAUAUCCUGGGAUGGGAGGGAUGCUUGUUUCUAGAAUUGAGAAUUUACCAUAUGCAUUGCCAAUCUUUUCUGUAGUUUGGAAAAUAGCUGUAACAGCUACACACAAAACCAUCAAGACAUAGUUGAUCUCUGGGAUGUAGAC
rnacentral:lncRNA from 1 species